rnacentral:rRNA from 1 species
AUUGAACGCUGGCGGCAGGCCUAACACAUGCAAGUCGAACGAGCGGCGGACGGGUGAGUAAUGUAUUGGGACUGCCAGAUAGAGGGGGAUAACUACUGGAAACGGUAGCUAAUACCGCAUACUAUCGGAUAACCCAUAUGGGAUUAGCUAGUAGGUGAGGUAAUUGCUACCCUAGGCGACGAUCCCUAGCUGGUCUGAGAGGCUGAUCAGCCACACUGGGACUGAGAACCGGCCCAGUCUCCUACGGAGGCAGCAGUGGGGAAUAUUGCACAAUGGGCGCAAGCUGGAUGCAGCCAUGCCGCGUGUAUGAAGAAGGCCUUAGGGUGGUAAAGUACUUUCAGUCGGGAGGCGUUACCGACAGAAGAAGCACCGGCUAACUCCGUGCCAGCAGCCGCGGUAAUAC